GAGCGGGCCGGUUGGAAAGGGACUCCUUCAAGCUGGCUGCAGUGCGGACGGGACCAGCGCGCUCUCGGGGCCUCCGGACCGAGGUAGUCAGACCUGUCCUGCCAGCCGGGGGUCUACGUGAGGGGUGGCCACUGGAGGCAGGAGUCUGGGAGGCCACGGAACUGAAGAGUCUGAACACUGUGAGCUCCAGAGUCCCAGGAAAAUGUCAAAUUUUAUCUUCGGAAGAAACUUGGAGACUUUUUUAAAGGUGAAAUUUUCAUCUUUAGGACUGAACACCUUCUCAACUGAACUUAAUGGAGAGAUUAUUAAGUGCCUUGUUUUGUGAGCUAUGUUUAAAUGAAGAUGAGCUAGAAGACAGAGUUGUUAAAAAUACGUAAGUUUUAUUAUAUAGCCAAAUGAAGGAUUCGGCUCUCUUGUAAUGGUAUUCUGAAAAAUUCCUAGCUUCUGUGAAAUUCCCUAAUUAUGGAAUUUUCUUUCAUGAUAUGGAGCUACUCCUGAUUUCAUCAUGAGAAUCUGAUCUGAAACUCAAUGUACAGAAAUACUGAAAAUGAAUUUCAAAUUAAAUGAGACCAUCUGUAUACUAAUAUGAUGCAAUACUGUUGAUUCACAUUUUUCCAUAUUAAAGACUGUUCUGAACUCUAAAUCUUUUAA